AUUAGCCUAGCAUGUCCCUUUAGAAGCCCAAAGACCAUCGGGAGGAACAGGCUACCUCAGCCCAGUCAACAGAUGGAGCCCUUUAAUUGGGGAAUUUAGCACAAAUCCCAGCCAAAGAUGGCAAGACACAGAAAACGCUGUGCCUGUCGAUCUAGGAGCUCAGGGGCUCGGCAGCAUAAGCGGCGUAAGAGUGGGAAGAAGAAAAAGAAGAACUGCGGCAAGCAACUAAUCCGUAAGAACAAUGGAUACGUUCGUAUUACAACCACCUGCCGUUACAAGAGGAAGUAACCUCUGGUUUCUGACUUGUCAUGAAAACAUUUGUCUCAUUAUCAUACCAUCCACAACAAAGUCACCUGCUUCCAACAAUGAACAAUUGUGACCAGUGACCACCACAUGUCAUCAAACAACGAAGAGACCAUCAGAACGUCGGAGAGUUGCUGCAAGAUCUUGGAGCUGCUGCUUUAUGUGAGCAGUAAUGGUAGCUUCUCAAUACAAGUGCAAAAUGCAUCUAUUGUGUGAUAUAUUCUCUAGCUUAAAAAGGGAUGUGGAAUUCUACAAGACUGGUCCUACUGUCAGACCAUGAGGGGAAGGACAGAGGUGUUUCUUAAAUGUUCUGCAGCAGGUACCAUAAUAACUUGACUGUCCUUGAGCACUAUGACCUUGACCUGGGGAUAGAAGACUGUCAUAUGCUGCUUCAUGUCAGACAGCAAAAUAUUUUGGGCUACGCUUGCCAGAAUUACUGGAAAGCAUUUGAUAAACCCUUUGGUUUUUGUUUGUUUGAUACUUAGGUUAAAUAGAGUUGUUCGUUCCUCAUCUGUUUGACAGACUGUCUUUCUUGCCCUCUUUCUCAUUCCCUCUCUAGCCUACCCUUCACCAAAUCACCUUGCAGUUAAAACAAACGGGCUUAAAUUGUUGGGUUUUGUAUUUUACCCUCAAGAGUAUUUAACUAUUUAAAUAUAGUUUCCAGGAAAUACUAGAAACAACAAAACAUAUUUUCAAAGGCCCCCAAUUACUUCAUUAUUGAAAGAAGGGGUAAGGAAUCAUUGGCCCACUACAUAUUUGGGAUUUCAUCUCUCAUCUUCAGUCAAGGUAAGUUGACUGACGAAUUAUGUGAGCAGCAGCCCAAAAUAUCUGGCAGACCA